AACGAACGCUGGCGGCAUGCCUAACACAUGCAAGUCGAACGAGACCUUCGGGUCUAGUGGCGCACGGGUUCGUAACGCGUGGGAACCUGCCCUUAGGUUCGGAAUAACUCCCCGACAGGGGUGCUAAUACCGGAUAAUGUCUUCGGACCAAAGAUUUAUCGCCUUUGGAUGGGCCCGCGUUGGAUUAGCUAGUUGGUAGGGUAAAAGCCUACCAAGGCGACGAUCCAUAGCUGGUCUGAGAGGAUGAUCAGCCACACUGGGACUGAGACACGGCCCAGACUCCUACGGGAGGCAGCAGUGGGGAAUAUUGGACAAUGGGCGAAAGCCUGAUCCAGCAAUGCCGCGUGAGUGAUGAAGGCCUUAGGGUUGUAAAGCUCUUUUACCCGGGAUGAUAAUGACAGUACCGGGAGAAUAAGCUCCGGCUAACUCCGUG
rnacentral:rRNA from 1 species